UACAGAGGGGGCCAGCGUUAUUCGGAAUUAUUGGGCGUAAAGGGCGCGUAGGCGGCUUUGCGUGUCUUUGGUGAAAUCCCUCGGCUCAACUGAGGACGUGCGGAAGAAACUGCAGGGCUGGAGUCCGGGAGAGGAGGGUGGAAUUCCCAGUGUAGCGGUGAAAUGCGUAGAUAUCAGGAAGAACACCCGUGGCGAAGGCGGCUCUCUGGGACGGUACUGACGCUGAGACGCGAAAGCGUGGGGAGCGAACAGG
rnacentral:rRNA from 1 species